UACGUAGGUGGCAAGCGUUGUCCGGAUUUACUGGGCGUAAAGAGCGCGCAGGCGGUCGUGCAAGUCGCGUGUGAAAGCCCCCGGCUCAACUGGGGAGGGUCACGCGAUACUGCUCGACUUGAAGGCAGGAGAGGGAAGUGGAAUUCCCGGUGUAGCGGUGGAAUGCGUAGAGAUCUGGAGGAACACCGAUGGCGAAGGCAGCCCCCUGGGCUGACACUGACGCUCAUGCACGAAAGCGUGGGGAGCAAACAGG
rnacentral:rRNA from 1 species